AGGGUGUAAAACGCUGCAGACUUGGUGUUGGAAAUCCUUCGAGGGUAUUCAGUGCCGGAGAGAAGUUGUUAAGUCUGCUACUUGGGGAGUACGUCCGCAAGGAUGAAACUUAAAGGAAUUGGCGGGGGAGCACCGCAACGGGAGGAGCGUGCGGUUUAAUUGGAUUCAACACCGGAAAACUCACCAGGGGAGACUGUUACAUGAAACCCAGACUAAUGAUCUUGGUUGAUUUUCAGAGAGGAGGUGCAUGGCGUCAGUGACU
rnacentral:rRNA from 1 species